GUCCCCGGAUAAGGUUACAGAUACAAGAUGGAGCGGGGGNGGGGGGGUCGGGGGGGGGUCUGUGAUUGGCAGCAGAAGCCUUGAGCAGCCAUUUCUGUUGGUUUGUUUUUUUUGUUUGUUUGUUUUUGUCUUUUUAGGACCGCACCCACAGCAUAUGGAGGUUCCCAGGUUAGGGGUCUAAUUGGAGCUGUAGCUGCCUGCCUACACCACAGCAACAUCAGAUCCGAGCCACGUCUGUGACCUACACCACAGCUAAUGGCAACACUGGAGCCUUAACCCACUGAGCAAGGCCAGGAAUCGAACCCGCACCCUUGUGGUUCCUAGUCAGAUCCAUUAACCACUGAGCCAUGAUGGGAAUGGCCUAGCACAGCCGUUUUUAAUCUUUCCUGGGCCAUGGCCUCUGUUUGGGGAAUCUGAUGAACCUCUGGACCUCUCACUAGAAAAAUGCACAUGAAGGCAUACUCAAAAUUUUUCAUCCAACUUGUUUUAUUACAUUUGAAAUUGAUGGCCAUUACAGACCAUAUAAAACCAGUCUUUGCAAAGAUAUCCACAUGUCUGAUUUUUGGGUUUGUGCAGGAAUAAAAUUCAAAGUAUGCAAUAAACACACUAGAUGCCAAAUAGAUAUUUUUCACAAAUAGAUACCAAAGCAGCGAUGGUUGUCGGCUGUAGUGUCUCUGGUAUCAAAGGACGGUUCUAGGAAGAAAUCCACCUCUUUUCAGUUUUCUUCAGAGAGAGCUCGUGUCCCGACAGCAAGAGAAGAAUACUAUUGACUGAAUUCAUUGUUCCCCAAGACAGUAACAUUUCAUACUUGUAUAUAUUUAUAAAAAAGGAGAGACAGGAAGUUCCCUUGUGGCACAGCGGGUUAAGGAUCCGGUAUUGCUGCCGCUGUGGGGCAUGUUGCAACCAUGGCACACGUUCGAUUCCUGGCCCAGGAACUACCACAUGCCACAGGUGCAGCCAAAAAAAGGGAAAGAUAAAGUUUCAGAAAUUCGGAGAUAUUAAGAUAAACUUAAAUAUUUGGGGGAAAAAAGCAUACCAGACCUACUGUGUUCUUACCAUUUAAGUCAUACAAAAUAUAUUAAGUUCAAAGUGGAAUAAAUGCACCCCUCAAAGAAGGGGUCUCAAGCCAACAAGAUAUGAAAAUACCAGUAGAUUAUACAUGUGUGUUAUCAUAAAUUUGAAAUUGAGCUUUACUAAUACUGGAUGUGUGAGACUGACACCAGCACCCUCUCUUAGUUCUGUGUU
rnacentral:lncRNA from 1 species